rnacentral:lncRNA from 1 species
CCUACCCCUUCCAGAUGCUUAGCAUCAACAGCGGUUACUUUGAGAGCCCGGGGACCAUAAACUUCCUGCUUGUGUGCCAAUUGAAAGACAGAAAGGAAAGGAUGUGGGUAACAACAAGAUGUCGCUCAUAGAGGACCUGCUGCAUAGAGUUCUCCCACAGGUACAAGUGUGAUCACACGACUUGUUCAGCAUGUCCUUUGGAACUCACAUCACAGAUACUCCCUCUUGUACCUGACUUAAAUCAAGUGUAACCCUGACUUUGGUGAGAUGAAAUGAUUUCUGCAUUUCCACCGACAGAAUAUGUUGAUUGACAGCUAUGCUUCCAGCCUUGUUCGGAGAUUUGACAAAGGGAUGGAGUGGGGAUAGGGUAAACAGGAGACCAAGCAGGAAAUAACUUUAAUAGGUCACGUUUGUUGAGCAAGCACAAGGACUGAUUCACAUUUCUAAAAUCCACAUUUUGAAAGAGUUGGGUAGUGCUUCACUCUUGUAGUCUUAGCACUAUGGAGAUGGAGACAGGAAGAUGCCUGGGCCCACAGGCCAACCAGCCUAGCUUAUUUGGUAAGUUCCAGGCCAGUGAGAGACCCUGGGUCCAAAAAUGACAUGAUGACUCCUGGGGAGGA